rnacentral:rRNA from 1 species
UACGGAGGGGGCUAGCGUUGUUCGGAAUUACUGGGCGUAAAGGGCGCGUAGGCGGCGCGAUAAGUUGGGCGUGAAAGGCCCGGGCUCAACCCGGGGACUGCGCUUGAUACUGUCGCGCUGUGAGUCCGGGAGAGGAUGGCGGAAUUCCCAGUGUAGAGGUGAAAUUCGUAGAGAUUAGGAAGAACACCAGUGGCGAAGGCGACUUUCUGGACCGUAACUGACGCUGAUGCAUGAAAGCGUGGGGAGCAAACAGG